GGUUUGGCACCUCGAUGUCGGCUCAUCGCAUCCUGGGGCUGUAGUCGGUCCCAAGGGUUGGGCUGUUCGCCCAUUAAAGCGGUACGCGAGCUGGGUUCAGAACGUCGUGAGACAGUUCGGUCCCUAUCCGUCGCGGGCGUAGGAAAUUUGAGAGGACCUGUCCUUAGUACGAGAGGACCGGGAUGGACAUACCUCUGGUGUACCAGUUGUGCCGCCAGGCGCAUCGCUGGGUAGCUACGUAUGGAUGUGAUAAACGCUGAAAGCAUCUAAGUGUGAAACACACCUCGAGAUGAGAUUUCCCAUUCCUUUAUGGAAGUAAGACCCCUGAAAGAUGAUCAGGUAGAUAGGUUAGAAGUGGCAGUGCGGUGACGCAUGAAGCGGACUAAUACUAAUCGGUCGAGGACUUAACCAA
rnacentral:rRNA from 1 species